AGUGAGUUGAGAGGCUCAAAGAAUCGAGGGAAGAUCUGAGGAAAGUCCAUCAGGCAUGGAAACAUCAUUUGUCACAACUGCAAGCAGAAUGGACAUAUCGGAGGUUUUGCCCAAAACUAAGGCAAACAGAGGUGGCGACAGUGACAAUGCCAAUGUUGUUGAGGAGCUCAUGCUUUUCUACGAUGAAGAUUUUGUCAACCUGACAACCC
rnacentral:lncRNA from 1 species